ACAGAGGUGUGGCAUGGCCAUCCAUGCAAGACGCGAAGUAUAUUGGUCUUAGUCUUCCAA
rnacentral:misc_RNA from 1 species